rnacentral:rRNA from 1 species
AGGACGAACGCUGGCGGCGUGCUUAACACAUGCAAGUCGAACGAGGAUUAGCGGAUGAGAGUUCGACAGGAUGAAGCUAAUCGAGUGGCGGACGGGUGAGUAACGCGUGAAUGAUCUGUCCCAGACAGGGGGAUAACACUUGGAAACAGGUGCUAAUACCGCAUAAGACCACGGUAUCGCAUGGUACAGGGGGUAAAAAGGAGGAAUCCGGUUUGGGGUGAGUUCGCGUCCGAUUAGAUAGUUGGUGAGGUAACGGCCCACCAAGUCGACGAUCGGUAGCCGACCUGAGAGGGUGAUCGGCCACAUUGGAACUGAGAGACGGUCCAAACUCCUACGGGAGGCAGCAGUGGGGAAUAUUGGGCAAUGGGCGAAAGCCUGACCCAGCAACGCCGCGUGAGUGAUGAAGGCCUUCGGGUUGUAAAGCUCUGUUAUAGGGGACGAAGGAAGUGACGGUACCCUAUAAGGAAGCCCCGGCUAACUACGUGCCAGCAGCGGC